UUAGAGUUUGAUCCUGGCUCAGGAUGAACGCUAGCUACAGGCUUAACACAUGCAAGUCGCGGGGCAGCAUGUCGGUUGCUUGCAACCGAUGAUGGCGACCGGCGCACGGGUGAGUAACGCGUAUCCAACCUGCCCUUCACCACGGAAUAAUCCAGUGAAAAUUGGUCUAAUACCGUAUGAGGUCAUACGAUGGCAUCAGAAUAUGACGAAAGGUUUGGCGGUGAAGGAUGGGGAUGCGUCUGAUUAGCUUGUUGGUGAGGUAACGGCUCACCAAGGCGACGAUCAGUAGGGGUUCUGAGAGGAAGGUCCCCCACAUUGGAACUGAGACACGGUCCAAACUCCUACGGGAGGCAGCAGUGAGGAAUAUUGGUCAAUGGGCGAGAGCCUGAACCAGCCAAGUAGCGUGCAGGAAGAGGGCCCUAUGGGUUGUAAACUGCUUUUAUAUGGGGAUAAAGUGAGUUACGUGUAGCUUAUUGCAGGUACCAUAUGAAUAAGGACCGGCUAAUUCCGUGCCAGCAGCCGCGGUAAUACGGAAGGUCCGGGCGUUAUCCGGAUUUAUUGGGUUUAAAGGGAGCGUAGGCCGGAGAUUAAGCGUGUUGUGAAAUGUAGAUGCUCAACAUCUGAACUGCAGCGCGAACUGGUUUCCUUGAGUACGCACAAAGUGGGCGGAAUUCGUGGUGUAGCGGUGAAAUGCUUAGAUAUCACGAAGAACUCCGAUUGCGAAGGCAGCUCACUGGAGCGCAACUGACGCUGAAGCUCGAAAGUGCGGGUAUCGAACAGGAUUAGAUACCCUGGUAGUCCGCACGGUAAACGAUGGAUGCCCGCUGUUGGUCUGAAUAGGUCAGCGGCCAAGCGAAAGCAUUAAGCAUCCCACCUGGGGAGUACGCCGGCAACGGUGA
rnacentral:rRNA from 1 species